rnacentral:rRNA from 1 species
UACAGAGGUGGCAAGCGUUGCUCGGUAUCACUGGGCUUAAAGGGCGCGUAGGCGGUGCGGUACGGUUUCGGUGAAAUCCCUCGGCCCAACCGAGGAACAGCCGGAGCUACGGCCGGACUAGACGGCAUCAGGGGACAGUGGAAUUCCCAGUGUAGCGGUGAAAUGCGUAGAUAUUGGGAGGAACACCAGUGGCGAAGGCGGCUACCUGGACCGGUUCUGACGCUGAGGCGCGAAAGCGUGGGUAGCAAACAGG